UAGGGAAUCUUCCACAAUGGACGCAAGUCUGAUGGAGCAACGCCGCGUGAGUGAAGAAGGUUUUCGGACCGUAAAGCUCUGUUGUUGGUGAAGAAGGAUAGAGGUAGUAACUGGCCUUUAUUUGACGGUAAUCAACCAGAAAGUCACGGCUAACUACGUGCCAGCAGCCGCGGUAAUACGUAGGUGGCAAGCGUUGUCCGGAUUUAUUGGGCGUAAAGCGAGCGCAGGCGGAAGAAUAAGUCUGAUGUGAAAGCCCUCGGCUUAACCGAGGAAUUGCAUCGGAAACUGUUUUCUGAGUGCAGAAGAGGAGAGUAGAACUCCAUGUGUAGCGGUGGAAUGCGUAGAUAUAUGGAAGAAUACCAGUGGCGAAGGCGGCUCUCUGGUCUGCAACUGACGCUGAGGCUCGAAAGCAUGGGUAGCGAACAGGAUUAGAUACCCUGGUAGUCCAUGCCGUAAACGAUGAGUGCUAAG
rnacentral:rRNA from 1 species